rnacentral:rRNA from 1 species
CCUACGGGAGGCAGCAGUGGGGAAUAUUGCACAAUGGGGGAAACCCUGAUGCAGCGACGCCGCGUGAGUGAAGAAGUAAUUCGUUACGUAAAGCUCUAUCAGCAGGGAAGAAACACUGACCUUACGGUCAGCAGACGGUACCUGAGUAAGAAGCCCCGGCUAACUACGUGCCAGCAGCCGCGGUAAUACGUAGGGGGCAAGCGUUAUCCGGAUUUACUGGGUGUAAAGGGAGCGUAGACGGUGGGCCAAGUCUGGCGUGAAAUGCCGCAGCUUAACUGCGGAACUGCUUUGGAAACUGGGGAACUAGAGUGCUGGAGGGGUAAGCGGAAUUCCUAGGGUAGCGGUGAAAUGCGUAGAUAUUAGGAGGAACACCGGUGGCGAAGGCGGCUUACUGGACCGUAACUGACGUUGAGGCUCGAAAGCGUGGGGAGCAAACAGGAUUAGAUACCCUUGUAGUC